UACAGAGGUCUCAAGCGUUGUCCGGAUUCAUUGGGCGUAAAGGGUGCGUAGGCGGCGCGGCAAGUCGGGUGUGAAAUCUCGGAGCUUAACUCCGAAACUGCAUUCGAUACUGCCGUGCUUGAGGACUGGAGAGGAGACUGGAAUUUACGGUGUAGCGGUGAAAUGCGUAGAUAUCGUAAGGAAGACCAGUGGCGAAGGCGGGUCUCUGGACAGUUCCUGACGCUGAGGCACGAAGGUCAGGGGAGCAAACGGG
rnacentral:rRNA from 1 species